rnacentral:rRNA from 1 species
AACCAAACUCUUGAUAUUUUAUGUCUCUCUGAGUAAACUUUUAAAUAAGUCAAAACUUUCAACAACGGAUCUCUUGGUUCUGGCAUCGAUGAAGAACGCAGCGAAAUGCGAUAAGUAAUGUGAAUUGCAGAAUUCAGUGAAUCAUCGAAUCUUUGAACGCACAUUGCGCUCGCCAGUAUUCUGGCGAGCAUGCCUGUUCGAGCGUCAUUUCAACCAUCAAGCUCUGCUUGCGUUGGGGAUCCGCGGCUGCCCGCGGUCCCUCAAAAACAGUGGCGGGCUCGCUAGUCACACCGAGCGUAGUAACUCUACAUCGCUAUGGUCGUGCGGCGGGUUCUUGCCGUAAAACCCCCCAAUUUCUAAGGUUGACCUCGGAUCAGGUAGGAAUACCCGCUGAACUUAAGCAUAUCAAUAAGCGGAGGAAAAGAAACCAACAGGGAUUGCCCUAGUAACGGCGAGUGAAGCGGCAACAGCUCAAAUUUGAAAUCUGGCUUCGGCCCGAGUUGUAAUUUGUAGAGGAAGCUUUUGGUGAGGCACCUUCUGAGUCCCCUGGAACGGGGCGCCAUAGAGGGUGAGAGCCCCGUAUAGUCGGAUGCCGAUCCAAUGUAAAGCUCCUUCGACGAGUCGAGUAGUUUGGGAAUGCUGCUCAAAAUGGGAGGUAAAUUUCUUCUAAAGCUAAAUACCGGCCAGAGACCGAUAGCGCACAAGUAGAGUGAUCGAAAGAUGAAAAGCACUUUGAAAAGAGGGUUAAAUAGCACGUGAAAUUGUUGAAAGGGAAGCGUUUGUGACCAGACUUGCGCCGUUCCGAUCAUCCGGUGUUCUCACCGGUGCACUCGGGACGGCUCAGGCCAGCAUCGG